GCAAGCUCUGGUCGCAGCCUCUGGAAAACUGAACAGGAGGGAGAGGUGGCCUUGACCCCAUCCAGUUCCUCACACACUACCCUCAAGGAUGUGGCUAGGAUGAUAACAUCCAUCCCCAGUGCCACCUCCAAAGGGACACUGCCAGGGUUUAGUUCCAGGAGCAUCAGAACCACGGGUCAGCUUAGGUGAAUGACUAGGGGGAUGAGGGCUGGGGAUCUGGUGUGCCAGAGUCUCUUCCCCUCUCACCCUGCUGGCUCACUCCCUGGUUUUCUGGUCCAUUCCUCCAGCCGCUGCCAGUCCUGAUUCACUCUCUGACCCAGAACCACACCUGGGGAACCACGUGCGUCUUUGGGGAUUAUAUGAUUGGGUAGGGACGGAGCCUGGUCAUAAAGUGAUAAGGGAAACUGAGGUCUUAUCAUAUCGGGAGGCCAGGAGAAAACUGGAAAGAUCAGGUUCAAACACUGAAAGCCUGUCAUUUGGAAAAUGAAUGGGAGAAGAAAACAGCAAGCCACUCACCCAGGGCCACAAAGCUAACAAGUGCGGGAGAGGAAUUCAAGCCCAUUUCUUUCCGACUUCAAAGUCUGUUCUCUUUCCACUACUCUAUUCUCUUUUUAUGGCUGAAGGCAGUCCCUUUCUUCUUCCCUUCCUUCUUAAGAUCAACAGGAAGACACACUGUUGUACUGCCAGAGGUGUCCAAAAGGGGGAUUCAUUGCCUGGGGUGGUGGUGAGUUCCCCACUCAGGGAGAUGUUCAAGUAGAGGCCACUUGCUCGUGUUGUUAGAGGGGAUCCAGGUUAAGAGAAGGUGGUUUCCACUACUGGUUGCAUAUGACAAUCACCUGUGUUUGUUCAUAGGCCAGAUUCCCAGUCCCCCGUCUAGUCCCCUGGGUCUCAGGUGCAGCUCAGUUAUAGCUAAUUUUUCAAAGCACCUUUGGGGACUCCAAUGCAGCUUUUGGGAAUCGUUGGGGUCUCCUUCAACUCUGAGAUACUAUGACCAUAGUGACCGUGGUCUAAGAGAGGGCCAGCUGUGGGGUGUCAGUGCUGGUGUUAACGGCGACAACUAUACUAGCUAAGCGUUGAGUGUUUACUCUGGUCCAGGGCUGGUGCAUUACUUCAUUAAGUACCCCACGAGGCAGGCACUACCUUCAUGCCCAUUUCACAGAUCAGGAAGAUUAAGUUUCCCGCCCAAGGCCACACCACAAGUGGGUGGAGGAGCUGGGCUGUGAGUUCAGGCAGGCUGGCUCUAGAUCUUCUCCUCUUAAUCAGAGGAGAAGUCACAAAAUGUGACCUGAUCCAAAGCCAUCCAGUCCACAGGUUCCAUCCAGUCCGCAGGUUCUGAAUAAAACCCACCAGCAGCUAAUCUCCCAAAUCACAAAAAUUCCACAGCACAGAAAUGACCAAGAGAGUGAAAUAGACUCUCAGACUAUGAAAUGACUAUAACAGCUAAAAGUGUUGCAAAACUCUCAACGUAUAAAUUAUAGGCAUUUCUUUGGUCUUUGGUGUUGUAUUCGACUUUUAACAUUUAAACUUUUCAACACAGCACGAGUGCACCCCAGUAAUUCCUACUGCUAUUCCUUCACUCAAAAACAAAACGUGCUCCUUAAAAAUGGUUUUAUUGGGUCCUGGAAUGUUCAAACAAAAUGACAUUAAGUAUAUUGACACGGUUAAAACAUUAACCCUAGUGAAACUCCUGAUGUGCUAAUUCAACAGAGCCUGCCCAAGCCUUUCUGGGAAAAGCUGGGUCACCUGCUGUACCUUGGCCAAAUCCUCACCCACCACGUGGCCUGGAGGCCAGCUUUAGCACCAGGAGUGCGACUUUAGUGCAGGGACUUUCUCAACCAAAUAUGUUCUAUUUCCUCCCUCAGGGUCAUCUCAGUCUUAGGAGAGUCAAGGGCAAAAAAAGGAGAUGUGAUGUCUAUACUCUGAGUGCUGAACUCACAGGGGACUUUCCAGGUUACAUGCCCUAUUAAACUAACCCUCUCAUUAAAGUUGACUCUGGGGAAAACUUUGGGAGGAACAGAGGAGGUCUUCUUACUGCCAAGCUCCUCUCCCCGCAGCAUGGCUAAUUACCCUUGUUCUUGCUUCCAGCCUAAGGUCCUUAAGCUAUUCUUGCUUUUUUUUUUUUUAUUUUUCUUUGUGGUACGCGGGCCUCUCACUGUUGUGGCCUCUCCCGUUGCAGAGCACAGGUUCCGGACGCGCAGGCUCAGCGGCCAUGGCUCACGGGCCCAGCCGCUCCGAGGCAUGUGGGAUCUUCCCGGACCGGGGCACGAACCCGCGUCCCCUGCAUCGGCAGGCGGAUUUUCAACCACUGCGCCACCAGGGAAGCCCCUAUUCUUGCUUUUUAAUGAUCCUCUCUCUCAAAGUUCCUAGCGCUUUGUGAGAAAGGUUAAAACUCACUGGAAAGAGUUGUAACAGCUUGAAUGGAGUCAACCAGUCGGAGACGUCUGGGACUUUCCCCUCUGCCUAAGGAAGCUCAAUUUAUCCUGGGGCUGGGAAGAGGCAGAGCCGAGGUCACCUUUUCAGACCCAGAAAUCACCUGGGAAACCAAGUCACAACCUCUCACCAGGCUCCUGCUCAAUCGGGGUGACCUUUGGAGAGGCUCCUCAGCUGACAUCCACGAGGUGUGGCUGAGAUCAGUGUGUCUCAAACUCUUCACUGCGGGCACUGAGGUGCUGCCGAGCUAGCGGAAGGAAUAAGAGAUCUCUUCUCCCACCUAUCCAUCCCUGUCGAUGUUCAAAUUCUAUGUAGGAUUUCACUGGACAAAAUUGGGUGACUUUCAAGGUCCCUUCCAGACCUAACAUUCUAUCAUUCUGAGACUCUAUUUCCCACUGAAAUAGACAGCUGUCUCCCCAGCCCAUGCUGAUCUGAGGACUGCUAAAGGGUGGACACCUCUUCCCUGGAGUCCUGGGGGUAUAAGUCUGUCCCUGCCAAGUGACUAGGAAGAUGCUUCAUUUUCUGCACAUCCUGGCAUCACACGGGACCCUCAAAGUCCCUGGAAUUCUGCCAAGUGCCUAUGAAAACCAAGCCAGAUGCAGACAGCUGGGGUCUGGGUGGAAAAGCCACUUCAAGCAGCAUACCCCAGGCUGGGCGCCUCAGGGCACUGGCUGAUUUGUGAUGGAAUUAAAGACGUUUUCCAAAAUUUCAGCUAUGGCCCCAGAAUGUUCCAAGCCCAUGAGAAGGUCAUGUGAAAUUGGUGAGGGUUGGGCAUAACCUGAUAAGAGUGGAUGUUCUCUAGUCUGAAGCCUUGGAGUCAGAAAGCUCUGAGUUCAUAAUUCUGAUGCCCCUCAUUCCAGCUCUGUGGCCUUGAGCACAUGAUUUCAUCUUUCUGAACCUCAGCUUUUUCAUAGGUCCAAUGGACAAUGAGACAGUUUGGCACAGUGUCUGGCACUGUAAAUGUUCUUACCAGGUCAAUGCCUGGGCUGCCUUAAAAUGUGAUGACUAAUAAAAUAAGCCAAAAAAUUAAGGGGCUCAAAGUUACCCAGCUGUGUGGAUGGAUACCCAUUGCUUAAGGUAUCAGAUCAAUUCUCUUUCUACGUGGGCUUCUCUGCCUAAAGUCCCAGGCUCCCCAUAACACGUGACACAGAUUCAAAUGUUUCUAGCUAUUCCCAGGGGCCUGAUUCACUCUUUGCACCCAGAAACUGGAAAGCGUGUGUAUUGUUCAGAAGAUCAAGGCUAACCAUCCCCCAAGUCCCCCACCCUCACUCCUGUGACUCAGGGCGAGACAACCGCCUAAUAAAUCAAGGCCCGUUAUGAGCUCCUUCAAGCUGAUUCACGCACAUAGCUCCUUGGCUCCUACCUGGGCAGAGAAAAGACAAGACUGAGAAUUCCCUGGACCUUGCCCUCCCAGGACGUGAUAAAAACCUGACACGUGAGAACUUGCCGUGAUCUGUGGUUCUCCAGUGUGCCAUGAGAGAUGGAGGGACCACUUAUAAUGUUACUCACUACAGAGCAGAACUGGCAGAAAGAAGGGUGCUUCCUGACGUUCCCCGGGGAUGUGACAUGACCAGUGACCCUAUCACCCCCCAAUCCUACUCAAAGCCCCCAAACAAUAUCAUAGACUUCUAGGGCUUCGUGCUGUGUGGUCUUUAUGCGUUAAACAUACAAUUAAACGAGUAAAACUUUAGUAAGGAAGGUACUGGGGGAGGGGAGAAUACAUUGAUGAAUAAGACAAUAAGAGAACAGUGGAGCAGAUGGAACAGAUGUGGAGGGAGAAGAAAACGUCCAUCAAUUUCACCUACCAUGUGCCCGGAACCAUUCAGGUCCUUUACAGCAGCGAUCCUCAACCUUUUUGGCACCAGGGACCGGUUUCGUGGAAGACAAUUUUUCCACGGAAGGGGGGUGGUUGGGCGAGGGGAGGGUUGGUUUCGGGAAGAUUCGUGGGCAUCACGUUUAUGGUGCACUUUAUGUCUAUUAUUAUUACAUUGUAAUAUAUAAGAAAAUAACUAUACAACUCACCAUAAUGCAGAAUCAGUGGGAACCCUGAGCUUGUUUUCACUUGCCACUCACUGAUAGGGCUGUGAUAUGAGUCUGCGAGCAACUGAUUUAUUAUGGUGUCUGUGCAGUCAAACCUCUCUGCUGAUGAUAAUCUGUAUUUGCAGCCGCUCCCCAGCGCUAGCAUCACCCCUCAGCUCUACCUCAGAUCAUCAGGCAUUAGAUUCUCAUAAGGAGCGCGCAACCUAGAUCCCUCGCAUGCACGGUACACAGUAGGGUUCGAGCUCCUAUGAGAACCUAAUGCCGCCGCUGAUCUGACAGGAGGCGGAGCUCAGGCGGUAAUGCGAGUGAUGGGGAACGGCUGUAAAUACAGAUGAAGCUUUGCCUGCGGGCGCUCGUUCACCUCCUGCUGUGUGGCCCAGUUCCUAACAGGCCACAGACCGCUACCUGUCCGCGGCCUGGGGGUUGGGGACCCCUGCUUUACAGGAAAGGCGGGAAGGUGAAGCAGUAAGAGUGUGGAUCUGGGACCCAGCCUGCCCACAUUCACAUCCCAGCACAUGGUCACUUGGACGAGUUAUGUGACCUCUCGGUGCUUCGGAGGUAAUAAAAGAACCUCUCCCACAGGACUUCAUGAGGAUGAAACAAAUUCAUAUAUGCUGGCGCUCUCACUACAGAGCCUGGAAAAAACAGUGGAAGCCAACGUGCUUUAGCACUGGAACUCACCCACAGCAACGCUCUCUCCAUCAACACCUCCCUCCAGCAUUUCCCUGGCACAGCUGAGCAUGGGACAGAAGCCUCCCCCAGGCCUGCCAAGUUCCUCCUAGCAGAGUCCCACCCCAGAAUUCUGCCCAGAAGUAGCAUCUGAAACAGAGGGAGAGCUGUUGGGAGACCUCAUUUCCUGAUGUUUAGAAGCCCUUGGGAAUAUGUGAAGGCCCUUCCUGCAGGACCAGUCCGGGACCAGACUCUUAUUAAGCAUGCAAAGACAGAUGCCAAUGUUGAUUGCCCUAAGGGGUUUCUGGCAGAGGAGACAUACUUAUGGUUCAGGGUUUGCUGGGAGCUAGGAGCAAGCUCAAGUGCUGGCUGGCCAGGCCUGGCACGGCCUUAAGCACCUAAUUGCUUCCCUAGACAGUCUGCUGUGGCAGCUGUUGGGAUAAGCCCCAGGGCACCGUGAGGUUUGGGUGCUUCUGGUGUCAACCAUUUAAUGAAGGGUGUCUCGGGCCUAGUAAGGUUUUCAACCUUGCAAGCUCCAGACACCUAACUGCUGUACAGACAAGCGCAAGAAGUACACGGACAGUCCAUCCUGCCGCUGCGUUUCCUUAGGCAACGUGAUGGCCACGGGCGGAAGACAGCACGUAGCGGGCGUUAGGGGCCCAGCAAAGUGUGGGAAAUUCAAGUCCUGGCCCCGCUAGUGCCUCACUUGUGACCUGGGGCAGGUGACUUCUCUCUUUAAGCCUGUAUUUUCUCAACCGUAAAUCAGGGGGCAGUGAUUGUUCCCAUCUCACGGGAUCUAGGUGUUAGAUUAUCCAUGUAAAGUGAUAACAUAGUAGCUAAGUACCCGAUACAUCUUGGACAUUUUUAGUAUUAUUAUCAUUAUUAUUGACACAUCUGAGAGGAACAGCUCAACAACGCCCAAGGAAAUGUCCCUUCACAGCCAUAGCCCAUUUGAUGGACAGGAUCCGCAAGCAAGGCUUGUCAAAAUGAAAACGAAAGCAGAUUGAAGCAACUGCUGUGUUGAUGGGAAUUCUCUGUCUUCUCAAGAACAGCAUGAAGAUUUUUUUUUUUUUCUGAUCCUAAGAUGCAUAAAUGCAAGAAACUCCUCUCCUUAGAGAAAUUCACCAGAUGGAAUUCUUUCCCAAGGAAUUUCAGAAUCUAUCAAUGUAGCACAAACGGGGUCAGGUGUUAACCCUGUAUCAACUGUCAUCACAAACUGUCAUCACAUUCUUGAUGGCCCCGAAGGCCCAGUCAGCCCGAGUUUCACUGAUGUUUUAUUAGCUACAGGAAUUGCAUUUCAGAACAUGUUUUGAAGGGAAAUGUCAUGAGCUUAUCUUUCCAGGGACCAAGGCAGCAGUGAAAGAAUCAGCUCAUGACUCGUGUUACAUCCUUCAUCUAAGUGUAUUUCCCUCUGCUAUUGACGUGCUCCCGGAGGAGUUUUGGGAAAGUGUGAGCAUUCAUCCCUACUACAUCACGAAAACUCAGCACACCUGUAAUUUCACAGCUGCCUGCAGUUUCAACAGUGACGGAAAUGUUUGUGUUGGCCUCUCCACGCAGUUUGGAAAUAGCAGCAAAAAGUGGAGGAGUUACUUCUGGGUACCAAAAAUAAAGUUACAAGCCUGUGAAAAUGAAUCCCUGUGACUUAAUGAAAUCUGUGGCUUAAAAGUGUGUUUGCUAAGAAAAUUGAAGUUAGAUGCCUUCUUUAAACAGAACCAAAGGGGGUAAAUGGAUGAAUAAAUGAAUGACUGUUUACUUGCGGUAUUUAUCAUUGGUGGAAAUUAUAAUUUCUCAAAUACUUGAAACUAUGGGAAUUUUCUACCAAAGAGACUUUGUAAAUUUAAAAGUAUAAUUAAUAAUAAAUAUUAAAGAUGAUGCAUCUUAGCAGGCAGAUCAUUUUACACCCACCUGACCCCAUGUUCUCUCCCAUCAGAUCCCCCAUCCCCAUUCCUUUGCAAAAACAGUCAAGUUAUGAGGAUGGACUUGGGUGGGGGUUAGAGUUCCUGGGUCUGAACCCAGCUGUUACUUAACUAUCUGUGUGAUCUUG